CUUUUUCACAUACCCAUGGGUCCUCUCUGAGCCAAUAUCAUGAAGGAGGUUAUGAAAAUAACAACAUGACAGUCAGGAUGAUGACAGCUUGAGGUUAUAGUUCAAAUUUUUAAAAAAUUGAUAGUAUAUAAAAUGCAUGUAAUUCCAUCUACUUUAAUUAAACCAAGUAUUAUUCAGUGUCUACAAUGCUCCUAGUGCUGUGCUAAGUUCUAGGAAAUACAGUAGAACCGCUGUACAUCAAAUGAUUCCUUUCCUUUCCUCAAUGACUAAGAGGGGGCAAAUAUCGAACUUGUGAGAUAGCAACAAAGGGAAAAUAUCUAAGCCACAUUACUGUCAUUAAAUCUGUAGGCAGUCAACAUAGAGAGAUCAAAGAAGAAAAAAGACAGGAAAGUAAUGAGAGGCAAAGUCCUUGAGAUAAGGACUUUGUCCAUAAUGUCUAGAUAAGGAUUGGAAGGUAUUUUACCUAAUGCUGAUGUAGAUGACUGUUCUCUGAAAAAAGAUAAAUCUAAAUCUAAAUACAACUCCCCUGUCUCAAAGGGAGUUUGUGAAGUGGUCAAAUGAAAAAGAAUGGGAGACUCAAUAUCAUCUCUUGGACAGAAGUAAGCUGUUCCAAGACAUGGAAAGUCCUCAGAGGAGCAGACUGGAAAUGCAGUGAAAAAAUUAGAGAGGAAACCAGUGUGGGCACCCCACGCUCUGGCUUCACUGGAAUGCUGCUGGGGCUCUGCAUCAAUGAAUUUCAACAUGCAAGUCAUGAACCACUCAGAAGAUCCUUCCAAUGGGCCUCAGGCUGAUUCCAAAGGCAAAUACUUGUUCUAGUUAUUUUGAAGUGAGAAAUUUACAAAUCUAUGUACUCAUAAUAAAGAGAAUAACUCGUGUCAAGGACUGCUUUGGGCUGAAUUGUAUUCCACAAGAUUCAUAUGUUGACAUUCCAACCCUCAGAACCUCAGAAUGUUAGAACAUUUAGAGAUAGGGACUUUAAAGGGGCAAUUAAAAU
rnacentral:lncRNA from 1 species